CUGGGACUUCUUCAACUUUUAGGCUUCUUUGUCUUUGGCUUAUGUUGCUUUUAGGAUUCUUCAACAGUCGCAACAUAAGAGGCUUCUUGGUGAGCCAUUUUUUCCUUUUGCUUUUAGCUUGCUGAUGCUUUGUGCAUCCUUUUCUUUCCAAUUUGAUUGAAAUUUCUAAGGCUUUACAUAUUUUCCUUUGCAGACUCACAUCGUUUGAGAGGGCCAUCAUACUGCCCAUUGAGGUGCUUGUUUUGCUUUGUCUCAGUUGCUUCAUGUUUUGCCAGCAACAAAGUGAGAACCUUUUGCAAUUUGCUGCAGAGAAGUGCUGGCUUAGUAAUUUUCUUGGGCUGUCAGAUUUGGGAUUUUUCUUUGUUGGCAAAUUUUGAAGCACAGAACGUGGGUGUGAAUCAUCAACUUUUCACGUUUUGCCACCUAUUCUUUCUCCAAUUUGCAGAUUUGAAAUUUUGCUCUGCUGAAGGUGGGUUGGGCAUGUAACAAAGCAUUUGGGAUUUUGAUGUUUUCUAUUUUUGGUACUCAAGAACACUCGCAAGGUCUUCUCUGAGUACCACAAUGUGCCUAUGGACACUCACAAGGGGUUCACAGCACUUAGUACAGUGGGGUUCUUGCAGAAGCCCAUCUGUAAUUCACAACAGAGAGGUCUUUGUGAGAGCUCUCUUUGUGUAAGUAGCACAGUUAUUGCCAAUUUGGGAGGAUUUGUUCACAUUUUUCCACUGCUGAGGUCUCUGUUGAUAUGAUACAUUUCUUGAUAUCAAACAUGGAGGAAGUUCAGGCUUCUGUACAAUGGCCUCACAUACAUUUUUUUUUUUGCCUGCAAGUCAGUUGUACAUAAAAGGAUACUCAAAUGAAUUUGUUUAUACCUUCUUAAUGGUAUUGUGACAGAGCUUCGUAUCUCUUUUGCUUGCUUCUCUUCUUUG